GCGAGUAUCUAAAAGGAACAGCUUGGGACUCUAAAGAUGGAGAAUAAAUUACUUUAUAAAUAACAGAGAAGAAUCUCAGACGUGGAAAGGGAGAAUUGCUCCAAGCAGAAGACAAAAGAGGAGAUGAGUCUCCAAGGCGGGAUGACCCUGGCAUGUGGGACACACGGCUGGCCGGUGUGUCUGAGAGGGUGAGAUGGCGCACUGUGGCCUCAGGAGUGUCUCAGGGAUGUGGACUGUAGUCAGGGCAUGAAACACAGACGUCAUAGAUUUAUCGGAAGGUGCCUAGACCAGACCACCAAGCUGAGAGGCCCAACUCAUCUUCCCUGUGCCAGGAUGAAGAGAGAGCUGCCUGCUCUGAGGAUGUAGCAGAUGGUCCAUGCUUCCCACAGCUAGGGAUUCAGCGGCUCUCCAUCCCCAGACAGUUUGUGGGAGAUUUGCCAGCAUCCGCCACCGGAUGAGGUAAUAGCAGCAGCUGCAGCUCUCCAAGGAGACCUCAGUCACCUUGCUGUGUGCCACCAAAGCCUCUGGA